GAGCCAACUAGUCUAGUGUCCCGCAGCAUGGCGGGCCCCCCCCUGGGGACCCUGCUCCUCCUCGGCCUCUUCCUCCAGGGCUGUCAAAUAGAAAUAAUAGGUGAGUACAGUAAUGACUCGUCAUUAACUUGGUUAAUUUUUUGCCCACUCUUCCUCCUUCCACCGUGUGAUAUUUUGAAGGCUUUCUUGGAUGUUCUUCCCACUUAAAGUGACUCCAAGGGCAUUUUUGUGGGGUUAAGAUCUGGGCUUUGACUUGCCUGUUCCAUGCAAAAUUUAGUUUUUCAGUUUUAUCUGUAAAAUUAGAUCAUCUUUAUCUGUCAGUAUCUUGAAGUGACAAUCAAACGUCCUUCUGUCGAAAAAUGUAGAAAAAGACCGACCUGUUCAUAAGGUGUACUUACUUUUUCACACCAGUGUAUAUACUGCACUGCAAUGGAGUGGCAUCCCAUGAGGUGUGCCCUGCCUCUUACCCUGUGCUUCUAGGAUAGGCUGUGGAAAAAUAAGAUCCUGGAUUGGACAAUUUGUUGAUAAAAUUGAAAAUGGUAACAUGUACAAAACACUACAUGCAACUCAGUCUACAAAUCAGCCUGUAGAUAAGCUUACAAACAAGUCUAUAACUGAGUCUACAAUUCAAUCUACAGCCCAGUCUACUACCCCGUCUCCUGUCGUGUCUUCAAGUAAGUAAUUCAAGUCCCAUAAUUAUUAUAAAUCCGAACCAUACUUGAACCAAAUAGCCAAAUUGUACUUAUAAACAAGUCUAUAACUGAGUCUACAAUUCAAUCUACAGCCCAGUCUACUACCCCGUCUC
rnacentral:lncRNA from 1 species